rnacentral:rRNA from 1 species
AUAGGGGAGCCGUAGGGAAACCGAGUCUUAACUGGGCGAAUGAGUUGCAGGGUAUAGACCCGAAACCCGGUGAUCUAGCCAUGGGCAGGUUGAAGGUUGGGUAACACUAACUGGAGGACCGAACCGACUAAUGUUGAAAAAUUAGCGGAUGACUUGUGGCUGGGGGUGAAAGGCCAAUCAAACCGGGAGAUAGCUGGUUCUCCCCGAAAGCUAUUUAGGUAGCGCCUCGUGAACUCAUCUUCGGGGGUAGAGCACUGUUUCGGCUAGGGGGUCAUCCCGACUUACCAACCCGAUGCAAACUACGAAUACCGAAGAAUGUUAUCACGGGAGACACACGGCGGGUGCUAACGUUCGUCGUGAAGAGGGAAACAACCCAGACCGCCAGCUAAGGUCCCAAAGUCAUGGUUAAGUGGGAAACGAAGUGGGAAGGCUCAGACAGCCAGGAUGUUGGCUUAGAAGCAGCCAUCAUUUAAAGAAAGCGUAAUAGCUCACUGGUCGAGUCGGCCUGCGCGGAAGAUGUAACGGGGCUAAACCAUGCACCGAAGCUGCGGCAGCGACAUGUAAAUGUUGUUGGGUAGGGGAGCGUUCUGUAAGCCUGUGAAGGUGUGCUGCGAGGCAUGCUGGAGGUAUCAGAAGUGCGAAUGCUGACAUAAGUAACGAUAAUGCGGGUGAAAAACCCGCACGCCGGAAGACCAAGGGUUCCUGUCCAACGUUAAUCGGGGCAGGGUGAGUCGACCCCUAAGGCGAGGCAGAAAUGCGUAGUCGAUGGGAAACAGGUUAAUAUUCCUGUACUGGUGAUAAUUGCGAUGGGGGGACGGAGAAGGCUAGGCUGGCCGGGCGACGGUUGUCCCGGUUUAAGGAUGUAGGUGGGCGAAUUAGGCAAAUCCGGUUCGCUAUACACUGAGGUCUGAUGACGAGUCACUACGGUGGCGAAGUAGCUCAUGCCCCGCUUCCAGGAAAAGCCUCUAAGCUCUAGAUUAUCAUUAAUCGUACCCCAAACCGACACAGGUGGUCAGGUAGAGAAUACUCAGGCGCUUGAGAGAACUCGGGUGAAGGAACUAGGCAAAAUGGUGCCGUAACUUCGGGAGAAGGCACGCUGGCACUAGGUGAAGUCCCUUGCGGAUGGAGCUGAAGCCAGUCGCAGAUACCAGCUGGCUGCAACUGUUUAUUAAAAACACAGCACUGUGCAAACACGAAAGUGGACGUAUACGGUGUGACGCCUGCCCGGUGCUGGAAGGUUAAUUGAUGGGGUUAUCCGUAAGGAGAAGCUCUUGAUCGAAGCCCCAGUAAACGGCGGCCGUAACUAUAACGGUCCUAAGGUAGCGAAAUUCCUUGUCGGGUAAGUUCCGACCUGCACGAAUGGCGUAAUGAUGGCCAGGCUGUCUCCACCCGAGACUCAGUGAAAUUGAACUCGCUGUGAAGAUGCAGUGUACCCGCGGCAAGACGGAAAGACCCCGUGAACCUUUACUAUAGCUUGACACUGAACAUUGAGCCUUGAUGUGUAGGAUAGGUGGGAGGCUUUGAAGUGUGGACGCCAGUCUGCAUGGAGCCAACCUUGAAAUACCACCCUUUAAUGUUUGAUGUUCUAACGUUGCCCC